rnacentral:rRNA from 1 species
AGCGAACGUUAGCGGCGCGCCUAACACAUGCAAGUCGCACGAGAAAGGGCUUCGGCCCCGGUAAAGUGGCGCACGGGUGAGUAACACGUGGGCAACCUGCCCAACCCUGGGGGAUAACCUGCCGAAAGGCGGGCUAAUACCGCGUACGAGGGCUCCACUUCGGUGGGGUUCUGAAAGCAGGCCUCUGUAUACAAGCUUGCGGGGUUGGAUGGGCCCGCGGUCCAUCAGCUAGUUGGUGGGGUAAUGGCUCACCAAGGCUACGACGGAUAGCUGGUCUGAGAGGAUGAUCAGCCACACUGGAACUGAGACACGGUCCAGACUCCUACGGGAGGCAGCAGUGGGGAAUCUUGCGCAAUGGACGAAAGUCUGACGCAGCGACGCCGCGUGGGUGACGAAGGCCUUCGGGUUGUAAAGCCCUGUGGGGCGAGACGAACAGCCUCUGGUCGAACAGGCCAGGGGUCUGACGGUAUCGCCUUAGCAAGCACCGGCUAACUCUGUGCCAGCCGCCGAGUAAAAC